UGGGGAAUCUUGGACAAUGGGGGCAACCCUGAUCCAGCCAUGCCGCGUGAGUGAUGAAGGCCUUAGGGUUGUAAAGCUCUUUCGCCUGUGAAGAUAAUGACGGUAGCAGGUAAAGAAACCCCGGCUAACUCCGUGCCAGCAGCCGCGGUAAUACGGAGGGGGUUAGCGUUGUUCGGAAUUACUGGGCGUAAAGCGCACGUAGGCGGACCAGAAAGUUGGGGGUGAAAUCCCGGGGGCUCAACCCCGGAACUGCCUCCAAAACUAUUGGUCUAGAGUUCGAGAGAGGUGAGUGGAAUUCCAAGUGUAGAGGUGAAAUUCGUAGAUAUUUGGAGGAACACCAGUGGCGAAGGCGGCUCACUGGCUCGAUACUGACGCUGAGGUGCGAAAGUGUGGGGAGCAAACAGGAUUAGAUACCCUGGUAGUCCACACCGUAAAACGAUGAAUGCCAGUCGUCGGGUAGCAUGCUAUUCGGUGACACACCUAACGGAUUAAGCAUUCCGCCUGGGGAGUACGGUCGCAAGAUUAAAA
rnacentral:rRNA from 1 species